GUUAAGUGGCAACAAGUGGCAGGCAACAAGGACAGGACAUCACCAUCCCCAUGGGAAGGGCCAAAAUGGCUCAUAUGUGCUUCUGAGGGUCAGUGCUGAAAGGGGAGAUGAUGGGCACUCACGGGACUCCUGUUCAGGAUCAUCUCUGGGCCCAUGCAGGAUUGAAUCUAUAGGUUUAACCGAGGAAGAAGCCAAACACUGUGUCAGGAUUGAAACAAAGAAACGCGUUUUAUUUGCUAAGAAAACAAAAGUGGAACAUAGGUGCACCACCAACAAGCUGUCAGAGAAACAUGAAGGUUCAUUUAUACAGGGAGCAGAGAAAUCCAUAUCCCUGAUUCGAGGUGGAAGGAGUGAAUAUGGAGCAGCUUUGGCAUGGGAGAAAGGGAGCUCUGGUCUGGAGGAGAAGACAUUUUCUGAGUGGUUAGAAUCAGUGAAGGAAAAUCCUGCUGUGAUUGACUUUGAGCUUGCCCCCAUCGUGGACUUGGUAAGAAACAUCCCCUGUGCAGUGACAAAACGGAACAACCUCA
rnacentral:lncRNA from 1 species